AUUGAACGCUGGCGGCAGGCCUAACACAUGCAAGUCGAGCGGCAGCGGAAAGUAGCUUGCUACUUUGCCGGCGAGCGGCGGACGGGUGAGUAAUGUCUGGGGAUCUUCCUGAUGGAGGGGGAUAACUACUGGAAACGGUAGCUAAUACCGCAUAACGUCGCAAGACCAAAGCGGGGGACCUUCGGGCCUCGCGCCAUCAGAUGAACCCAGAUGGGAUUAGCUAGUAGGUGGGGUAAUGGCUCACCUAGGCGACGAUCCCUAGCUGGUCUGAGAGGAUGACCAGCCACACUGGAACUGAGACACGGUCCAGACUCCUACGGGAGGCAGCAGUGGGGAAUAUUGCACAAUGGGCGCAAGCCUGAUGCAGCCAUGCCGCGUGUAUGAAGAAGGCCUUCGGGUUGUAAAGUACUUUCAGCGAGGAGGAAGGCGGUAAGGUUAAUAACCUUACUGAUUGACGUUACUCGCAGAAGAAGCACCGGCUAACUCCGUG
rnacentral:rRNA from 1 species